GACAGAGGUGGCGAGCGUUGUUCGGAUUUACUGGGCGUAAAGCGCGGGUAGGCGGUCCGGCCAGUCAGAUGUGAAAUCCCACCGCUUAACGGUGGAACGGCGUCUGAUACUACCGGACUCGAGUGCAGGAGAGGAGAGUGGAAUUUCCGGUGUAGCGGUGAAAUGCGUAGAGAUCGGAAGGAACACCAGUGGCGAAGGCGGCUCUCUGGACUGCAACUGACGCUGAGACGCGAAAGCGUGGGGAGCAAACAGG
rnacentral:rRNA from 1 species